AUGUAUGCUUUUAGCGGGAAUAUUAUUAAAGAUGGGAGCAUAUGGAUUGAUUCGGAUCAACAUGGAAUUGUUACCUCAUGCUCAUUAUCUAUUUUCGCCCUGGUUAGUAAUAAUAGGAGCGAUCAGCUCCCUACCCUGCAGAAAAUAAAAAUGAAACGAAAGGGACAGUCUACCUCUCCCUUCCCUUUAAAAACAGUUUGCCCGUUGUUUGUCUCAGUUAAUACCCAAUUUUUGGAGCUCUCUUGGCGAGUUCUAUUUCUGCCUCCAAAGCGCCCUUUUUUUUGA
rnacentral:rRNA from 1 species